CUGGAAACGGUAGCUAAUACCGCAUGACCUCGAAAGAGCAAAGUGGGGGAUCUUCGGACCUCACGCCAUCGGAUGUGCCCAGAUGGGAUUAGCUAGUAGGUGAGGUAAUGGCUCACCUAGGCGACGAUCCCUAGCUGGUCUGAGAGGAUGACCAGCCACACUGGAACUGAGACACGGUCCAGACUCCUACGGGAGGCAGCAGUGGGGAAUAUUGCACAAUGGGCGCAAGCCUGAUGCAGCCAUGCCGCGUGUGUGAAGAAGGCCUUAGGGUUGUAAAGCACUUUCAGCGAGGAGGAAGGCAUCAUACUUUUUACGUGUUUUGAUUGACGUUACUCGCAGAAGAAGCACCGGCUAACUCCGUGCCAGCAGCCGCGGUAAUACGGAGGGUGCAAGCGUUAAUCGGAAUUACUGGGCGUAAAGCGCACGCAGGCGGUUUGUUAAGUCAGAUGUGAAAUCCCCGCGCUUAACGUGGGAACUGCAUUUGAAACUGGCAAGCUAGAGUCUUGUAGAGGGGGGUAGAAUUCCAGGUGUAGCGGUGAAAUGC
rnacentral:rRNA from 1 species